rnacentral:tRNA from 1 species
UGCCGGAUCGUCUAAUGGUAGGACGCCUGACUCUGACUCAGGUAGUCUAGGUUCGAGUCCUAGUCCGGCAGCCA